CCUACGGGGAGCAGCAGUGAGGAAUAUUGGUCAAUGGACGAGAGUCUGAACCAGCCAAGUAGCGUGAAGGAUGACUGCCCUAUGGGUUGUAAACUUCUUUUAUAUGGGAAUAAAACGUUCCACGUGUGGGAUUUUGUAUGUACCAUAUGAAUAAGGAUCGGCUAACUCCGUGCCAGCAGCCGCGGUAAUACGGAGGAUCCGAGCGUUAUCCGGAUUUAUUGGGUUUAAAGGGAGCGUAGGUGGAUUGUUAAGUCAGUUGUGAAAGUUUGCGGCUCAACCGUAAAAUUGCAGUGAAACUGGCAGUCUUGAGUACAGUAGAGGUGGGCGGAAUUCGUGGUGUAGCGGUGAAAUGCUUAGAUAUCACGAAGAACUCCGAUUGCGAAGGCAGUUCACUGGACUGCAACUGACACUGAGGCUCGAAAGUGUGGGUAUCAAACAGGAUUAGAUACCCUUGUAGUC
rnacentral:rRNA from 1 species